rnacentral:rRNA from 1 species
GACGAACGCUGGCGGCGUGCUUAACACAUGCAAGUCGAACGAUGAAGUCUAGCUUGCUAGACGGAUUAGUGGCGAACGGGUGAGUAAUAUAUCGGAACGUAUCCAUUAAUGGGGGAUAACUAGUCGAAAGAUUGGCUAAUACCGCAUACGUCCUACGGGAGAAAGCUGGGGAUCGUAAGACCUGGCGUUAAUGGAGCGGCCGAUAUCUGAUUAGCUAGUUGGUGAGGUAAAGGCUCACCAAGGCGACGAUCAGUAGCUGGUCUGAGAGGACGACCAGCCACACUGGAACUGAGACACGGUCCAGACUCCUACGGGAGGCAGCAGUGGGGAAUUUUGGACAAUGGGCGAAAGCCUGAUCCAGCCAUUCCGCGUGAGUGAAGAAGGCCUUCGGGUUGUAAAGCUCUUUCGCAAGGGAAGAAAACUUAUCCUCUAACAUAGGGUGAGGUUGACGGUACCUUGAUAAGAAGCACCGGCUAACUACGUGCCAGCCGCCGCCGUAACAC